CAGUAGCCCGGUAAAACGUAGGUGGCAAGCGUUGUCCGGAAUUAUUGGGCGUAAAGCGUCUGUAGGUGGCUCUGUAAGUUAGAGGUGAAAGCCCGGAGCUCAACUCCGGAAUUGCCUUUAAGACUGCAGAGCUAGCAGGAGAGAGAGGUGAGUGGAAUUCCGAGUGUAGAGGUGAAAUUCGUAGAUAUUCGGAAGAACACCAGUGGCGAAGGCGGCUCACUGGCUCAUACUGGACGCUGAGGUGCGAAAGCGUGGGGAGCAAACAGGAUUAGAUACCCGAGUAGUCCCUGUCUCUUAUACA
rnacentral:rRNA from 1 species